AGUGAACGCUGGCGGUAGGCCUAACACAUGCAAGUCGAACGGCAGCACAGUAAGCGCUUGCUCUUACGGGUGGCGAGUGGCGGACGGGUGAGGCAUACAUCGGAAUCUACUUUUUCGUGGGGGAUAACGUAGGGAAACUUACGCUAAUACCGCAUACGACCUACGGGUGAAAGCAGGGGAUCUUCGGACCUUGCGCGAUUGAAUGAGCCGAUGUCGGAUUAGCUAGUUGGCGGGGUAAAGGCCCACCAAGGCGACGAUGCGUAGCUGAUCUGAGAGGAUGAUCAGCCACACUGGAACUGAGACGCGGUCCAGACUCCUACGGGAGGCAGCAGUGGGGAAUAUUGGACAAUGGGCGCAAGCCUGAUCCAGCCAUACCGCGUGGGUGAAGAAGGCCUUCGGGUUGUAAAGCCCUUUUGUUGGGAAAGAAAAGCAGCAGGUUAAUACCCCGCUGUUCUGACGGUACCCAAAGAGUAAGCACCGGCUAACUUCGUG
rnacentral:rRNA from 1 species